AGUGGUUCUCGGGACACCCCCCGGAAUCAGGCUUCCUCCUCUCAGGUUCUGGGUGCAUUACCCAAGAACUGCA
rfam:Myotis davidii contig107730, whole genome shotgun sequence.